UGUCUUAAUUUGCAUCAUUUAGACAUCAUCCGAUGAUCUCCUCCCAUGAUGGAUAAGGAUUUAACACAUUCCGCAAUCCCUAUUUCUCUUCCUCUUUUUCCUAAGGCUCAUACCCCUUUUCAGUUCCAAAGUUGUUUAUUUUUCUGUCCUUAAGCAAUACAUGUACUUAUUGCAUCCCUUCUGUUUCUUAUUCCAUCAGGUAUAGACAGUGUCUCUUGACUCCCAGCUUUAAAAGAUGAAGAUACCGGAGUUCCCGUCGUGGCGCAGUGGUUAACGAAUCCGACUAGGAACCAUGAGGUUGCGGGUUCGAUCCCUGGCCUUGCUCAGUGGGUUAACGAUCCGGCGUUUCUGUGAGCUGUGGUGUAGGUUGCAGACGCGGCUCGGAUCCAGCGUUGCUAUGGCUCUGGCGUAGGCCGGUGGCCACAGCUCCGAUUCGACCCCUAGCCUGGGAACCUCCAUAUGCCGCGGGCAUUUCUACCCUUCCAGGUAUAGAGAAUUUAUUCAAAGUCAGAUACAGACUGGCCAAACCACCUUCUACAAAGUGGACAGGAAAAAAGAGCCUACAGAAAAGGUAGGAGUUGUUAUAAAAUUGCCUUAAUUCCGCUCUCUCUGCGUUACAAGCCGGGGGUGGGCAGUGGACUGCCAUGCUGUGU
rnacentral:lncRNA from 1 species